GACGAACGCUGGCGGCGUGCUUAACACAUGCAAGUCGAACGGAAAGGCCCUGCUUUUGUGGGUUGCUCGAGUGGCGAACGGGUGAGUAACACGUGAGUAACCUGCCCUUGACUUUGGGAUAACUUCAGGAAACUGGGGCUAAUACCGGAUAGGAGCUCCUGCUGCAUGGUGGGGGUUGGAAAGUUUCGGCGGUUGGGGAUGGACUCGCGGCUUAUCAGCUUGUUGGUGGGGUAGUGGCUUACCAAGGCUUUGACGGGUAGCCGGCCUGAGAGGGUGACCGGGCACAUGGGGACUGAGGGACGGCCCAGACUGCUACGGGAGGCAGCGGUGGGGAGUAUUGCACAAUGGGCGGAAGCCUGAUGCAGCAACGCCGGGUGCGGGAUGACGGGCUUCGGGUUGUAAACCGCUUUCGCAGGUGACGAGGCGUGAGUGACGGUAAUGGGUAAAGAAGCACCGGCUAACUACGUG
rnacentral:rRNA from 1 species